UAAGUGGGCAGCCCAUUUCAUGUAGUCAUUUGCAUAUUUCUCUUUCCACCUUGAGAACACAGACACUUCCAGUGUCAGCCUUCUCUGCUUAUGCAGUCGAGUCUUGGCCUUCAGUUGUGUUCUGAUGUUAAGUAUUCUUGCUUUCUCUGACCAGUUUAUGGUACCCUGAGGCUAAGAUUUAGAGUCAGUUAGUAGCUGAUCCAAAUCUCUAAUGAUGUAGUCUGUUGUUGACACAUGAGACCUUUCUUUCAUUUUGAUGACAAUUUCUUUUCAAGCCAUUCUUCAGGAAUAAAGACAAGAAUUUCACUGAAAGGCUUUCCAAAAUUUUCUUUGCAUUUUUCGUCAUAUGUGGAAGAAAUGACUUGUGCAACUGUCUUGAGAUGUUUGCUUGUUAACUUUAUCCCUUUUGGAGGUGUCAGUAUUGCAGCCUGAUCUGUAUGCCUUUUAGUGUCCCCUUCAAUUUCAUGUAGUGGGCCCCUCUUUACUGUCAUACAUACACAUUUUGCUGAGUGGAGAGGUGGCUUGCAAAAAUUGAAAGUGCUCUUUGAAUUCCUUUGAUAUAUCCUUUCCUUCAAUCCAGUUUGCUAUUGAAAAUGAUGACAAAUA